rnacentral:rRNA from 1 species
CUACUUCAUCGGACAGCGGCGAACGGGUGAGUAACACGUUGGUAUCUGCCCCCAAGUCAGGGAUAGCCAUUGGAAACGAUGAUUAAUACCGGAUAGUCUCUACGGAGUAAAAAUUUAUUGCUUGGGGAGGAGCCUGCGUUCUAUCAGCUAGUUGGUGAGGUAAUAGCUCACCAAGGCUAUGACGGAUACCUGGUCUGAGAGGACGAUCAGCCACACUGGAACUGAGACACGGUCCAGACUCC